CACGUAGGGCGCAAGCGUUGUCCGGAAUUAUUGGGCGUAAAGAGCUCGUAGGUGGUUUGUUACGUCCGCUGUGAAAUCCUAGGGCUUAACCCUGGGCUUGCAGUGGAUACGGGCAGACUAGAGGUAGGUAGGGGAGAAUGGAAUUCCUGGUGUAGCGGUGAAAUGCGCAGAUAUCAGGAGGAACACCGGUGGCGAAGGCGGUUAGCUGGGCAGUUGCUGACACUGAGGCGCGACAGCGUGGGGAGCAAACAGG
rnacentral:rRNA from 1 species